rnacentral:rRNA from 15 species
CCUACGUCUAGGGAAUACCCCGGAUCCGUUUUGCCCCCUGUCCCUAGCUUCAUAAUAAAAUUGUGGAGACUAUGUGGCAAAAGAAAAACAAGGGAUUUAAAAGAACGGGGGGGG